rnacentral:rRNA from 1 species
UAAGGGUAACGGGCUUACCAAGGCGAUGAUGCAUAGCCCGAGUUGAGAGACUGAUCGGGCCACAUUGGGACUGAGACACGGGCCCAAACUCCUACGGGAGGCAGCAGUAGGGGAAUCUUCCACAAUGGACGAAAAGUCUGAUGGAGCAAACGCCGCGUGAGUGAAGAAGGUUUUCGGAUCGUAAAAAGCUCUGUUGUUGGUGAAGAAGGAUAGAGGUAGUAACUGGCCCUUUAUUUGACGGUAAUCAACCCAGAAAGUCACGGGCUAACUACGUGCCCAGCAGCCGCGGUAAAU